rnacentral:tRNA from 1 species
GCCGGGUUGCCGGAGCGGCAAUCGGAGUGCACUGUAAAUGCGCUGCGCAUAACGCGCUACGGGAGUUCGAGUCUCUCACCCGGCACCA